CGGCUCAUUGACGACCACCCAGCCUACACAGUUCGCCAGAUCCUGGACGUCCGACGGCGGGGCCGGGGUUUCCAGUACCUGGUGGACUGGGAAGGGUACGGGCCGGAGGAGCGUUCUUGGGUUCCCCGGCACUUCAUCCUGGAUCCCUCCCUUCUUUCGGACUUCUACCGAUCCCAUCCUGACAAGCCCGGUAGGCCGCCAGGAGGCGUCCUUUGAGGGGGGGGUACUGUCAUGGCUCUGCUCCCCUCCUGCUCCCUUUGCUCCUCCCCCUUCCCUGUGUGCCUGAGGGUGCGGCCUCCAUUCUCCUCACCUGCUGCCUGCUGUCUCACCUGCUCUCAAUCAUUCAUCAUGCUCCAGUCUUCAAGAACCCCGGUCUUCCUCCCAUUCUUCGCCAGAUUGUUUCAGCCUAUGUGGUGGGUCCCUUGUGCUGUUUGGCUUCCUGUGUCCGCUCUCCUGUGCCUCUGUGUCUCCGGUCUCUUCCUCCAUCUCACCCACCCGUUCCUGCUCUGGCCGCCCCUCAUCCCCCCUGUGUGUGUGCGUGUGCGUGGAAUAAAACCCCCUUUAAACCUUC